CUUUCUUUAAGAGAAAAAUACCAUAAAACCGGAAAGUGACGUCACUGAUAGGCGUGUGUGGACAAAACCGGCUAAUCUUGGACGACACAUUACGCACAUGCAUAAGCCCCGUUUUCCCAGAGCAAGGCUCAAACAUUUAGCUGACUGAUUCUCGAACGAACGCAAUCUUACUCAUAUUUCAGGUCGAGUCUGUCGGGGGCGCCUAUCUGGCCCGUGCCGACGUCGGUAUCAGUGAGACGCAUGCGGAGAGGGUCGCCAUAACCGCUCGGAACUUAACCUCGCCCCUGUAUGGUGAAUCUAUCCAGAAAAGCGGGGGAAAAUCGAGUUGAGCGGCUAUUGAAUGUUGGAAACGUAUUUCCUGUUGAAAAACGAUAUUCUGUCGGAGGACGAUUUGCUCGAGCGUUCACACAACAACCCGGAAGUGAUGUAGGACGGAUGGCGGGGUUGGCAUAUGCGCGGAACAACCGAGUGUAUCACAUCGCUGAGAAUACUUCUUCAGGU